rnacentral:rRNA from 1 species
UGGAGCAAUCCAUGAGUACAGUGGCGUACGGGUGAGUAACACGUGGGUAAUCUACCUUUUAGUGAGGAAUAACCGAGGGAAACUUUGGCUAAUACCGCAUAAGCCCGAGAGGGGAAAGCAGAAAUGCGCUGAAAGAGGAGCCCGCGGCCGAUUAGCUAGUUGGUGGGGUAACGGCUCACCAAGGCAACGAUCAGUAUCCGGCCUGAGAGGGCGGACGGACACACUGGGACUGAGACACGGUCCAGACUCCUACGGGAGGCAGCAGUGGGGAAUUUUUGGCAAUGGGGGAAACCCUGACCAAGCAACGCCGCGUGGAUGAUGAAGUAUCUUGGUACGUAAAAUCCUUUCGACGGGGACGAAGCCGCAAGGUUGACGGUACCCGUAGAAGAAGCCCCGGCUAACUCCGUGCCAGCAGCCGCGGUAAUACGGGGGGGGCAAGCGUUGUUCGGAAUUACUGGGCGUAAAGGGCUCGUAGGCGGCCAACUAAGUCAGACGUGAAAUCCCUCGGCUUAACCGGGGAACUGCGUCUGAUACUGGAUGGCUUGAGUUUGGGAGAGGGAUGCGGAAUUCCAGGUGUAGCGGUGAAAUGCGUAGAUAUCUG